CUCAGGACAGACGGGCGACUCCGGCAGCUCAGGACAGACGGGCGACUCCGGCAGCUCAGGACAGACGGGCUCGGGCUUCCUUGACCGCCAUGCCAACUCUAUUCUCCAGGAUAUCCCUCCUCGCACUGUUCCAGAGAAUCCCAGGCGGGCUCCGGCACUCUCCCUGGGUCGACCGACCACCUUUCUAUCUCGUCCCAUGUUGUCACCUCCUCCAGAUAGCGCUGCUCCGUACCACGCUGCUUGGUCCUUUGGUGGUGGGUGAUUCUGUAACGCUCGUCGUAGGUGGAAGAAGAGGAGAACCAAUGCACAGCGUGGUAAGUGUCCAUAUCGUUUUAAUACGAAUACUGAACACUGAACAAAAAAAUAAAACUGACAAAACGAACAGUCCUGAAUGGUGAAGCAAAACACAGAACAGAAAAUAUAAUCACCCACAACUCAAGGGUAAAAAAAGGGCUGCCUAUGUAUGGUUCUCAAUCAGGGACAAUGAUUGACAGCUGCCUCUGAUUGAGAAACAUACCAGGCCAAACACAGAAAUACCAAAUCAUAGAACAAAGAACAUAGACUGCCCACCUAACUCACGACCUGACCAUACUAAAACAAAGACAUCACAAAGGAACUAAGGUCAGAACGUGACAGGUAUGACGGCUGCGUGGUCCCAUGGUGUUUAUGCUUGCGUGCUAUUGUUUGAACAGAUGAACGUGCUAUCUUCAGGCGUUUGGAAAUUGCUCCCAAGGAUGAACCAGACUUGUGGAGGUCUACAAUUUUUUUCUGAGGUCUUGGCUGAAUUUUUUGAUUUUCCCAUGAUGUCAAGCAAAGAGGCCCUGAGUUUGAAGGCCUCACUCCCCCCUAUCUGAGAUAUCUUCUGCAGCCUUCAUCCUCCACAUACAACACCCGUUCUGCCAGUCAUAUUCUGGUCCUCAAAGCACACACAUCCCUGGGUCGCUCGUCUUUUCAGUCCGCCGCAGCUAGCGAAUGGAACGAGCUGCAACAAACACUCAAACUGGACAGUUUUAUCAAUCUCUUCAUUCAAAGACUCAAUCAUGAACACUCUUACUGACAGUUGUGGCUGCUUUGCGUGAUAUAUUGUUGUCUCUAUCUUUUUCCCCUGUGUGCUGUUGUCUGUGCCCAAUAAUGUUUGCAUCCUGUUUUAUGCUACUACCAUGUUGUGCUGCUGCCAUUUUGUGUUGCUACCAUGCUGUGUUGUUGCUGCCAUGCUAUGUUGUUGUCUUAGGUCUCUAUUGUCGUGAUGUGUGUUUUGUCCUAUAUUUGUAUUUAUAUGUAUGUUUAAUCCCAGCCUCUGUCCCCGCAGGAGGCCUUUUGCCUUUUGGUAGGUCGUCAUUGUAAAUAAGAAUUUGUUAUUAACUGACUUGCCUAGUUAAAUAAAGGUUAAAUAAAAAUGUAAAAACUGGUGCACCGGCAUUUUCCAGCCCUAACGCCAGGUUUGGCAAUUUACAGGGGUGUGGAAAUAUUUGAGGCGUGUCCUUAAAAACAUGAUCCAAAGUGCUAUUUUCAGGCAGCGCUUGUAGGGAUAUUUAAGAACAACCAAAUGCUGGUUUUAGCGGUAACAUAGUUGGUUAUGGCAUGAAUUUUGACAGUGGAAACAGCCUAUUCAGCCGUGACGCACACUGCCCAUAUGCGCAUGGAACAAUAUGUGAUAUGGGGCCUGUAUAUUUCGUAUUUAUAAACAUAAAACACUCAUAGUCUCCCCUACUCUCAAUUAAGUAUGUUUUCUUUUUGUCCUGCCCAAUGUAAUCAAGUAGGCUAGUCAAGACCGUCAAUAAAGGGUUUGGCUCCUGA